rnacentral:rRNA from 1 species
CCUACGGGUGGCAGCAGUGGGGAAUAUUGGACAAUGGGGGAAACCCUGAUCCAGCGACGCCGCGUGAGUGAAGAAGUAUUUCGGUACGUAAAGCUCUAUCAGCAGGAAAGAAAAUGACGGUACCUGACUAAGACGCCCCGGCUAACUACGUGCCAGCCGCCGCGGUAAUACGUAGGGGGCUAGCGUUAUCCGGAUUUACUGGGUGUAAAGGGAGCGUAGACGGCAGCGCAAGUCUGGAGUGAAAUGCCGGGGCUCAACCCCGGAACUGCUCUGGAAACUGUGAAGCUGGAGUGCAGGAGAGGUAAGCGGAAUUCCUGGUGUAGCGGUGAAAUGCGUAGAUAUCAGGAGGAACACCGGCGGCGAAGGCGGCUUACUGGACUGUAACUGACGUUGAGGCUCGAAGGCGUGGGGAGCAAACAGGAUUAGAUACCCGGGUAGUC